GGAGAGAUGGCAGAGCGGUCUAUUGCGUUAGAUUGCUAAUCUAUUGUAUAACUACUAAACUUUAUACCGAGGGUUCAAAUCCCUCUCUCUCCU
rnacentral:tRNA from 2 species